rnacentral:ncRNA from 1 species
CGUUAGAGCAUUGAGAGGACCUUUCCCUAGUACGAGAGGACCGGGAAGGACGCACCUCUGGUGUACCAGUUAUCGUGCCCACGGUAAACGCUGGGUAGCCAACUGCGGAGCGGAUAACUGCUGAAAGCAUCUAAGUAGUAAGCCCACCCCAAGAUGAGUGCUCUCCUAUUCCAACUUCCCCAAAGCCUCCGGUAGCACAGCCGAGACGGCAAGUGGUUCUCUGUCCCUGCGAGGAUCGAGUGACAGAAGUUUUGAGAAUUCAAGAGAAGGUCACGGCGAGACAAGCCGUUUAUCAUUACGAUAGGUGUCAAGUGGAAGUGCAGUGAUGUAUGCAGCUGAGGCAUCCUAACAGACCGG